rnacentral:lncRNA from 1 species
CCCUCUCUGUUGAUGUUGUUAACCAUGGCCUGGUCUAUUUAAGGUUCCGGUCACGGGGUUUCUUAUUUCUCCCAUUUUUCCUUUUAAUAACGGGUCCAACUCUGCUGAACUCUGCUGAAAACAACACGCACUCUGGGUCCUCUUCACUGUAGCCACUUCAUAGCUUGUGCAGUCACUCUGCUCUUGUUGUUUUUAUCAUGGCGUGUCAUUUAUUCAUGCCCAACCCCAAGUCUAGCAACAUCACUAGCAUCGUCCCUUUAUUUUUUCC